AUAACAGGUCUGUGAUGCCCUUAGAUGUUCUGGGCCGCACGCGCGCUACACUGUUGCAUUCAACGAGCUUACAACCUUGAUCGAGAGGUCUGGGUAAUCUUUGAAAGUGCAACGUGAUGGGGCUAGAUUAUUGCAAUUAUUAAUCUUAAACGAGGAAUUCCUAGUAAACGCAAGUCAUCAGCUUGCAUUGAUUACGUCCCUGCCCUUUGUACACACCGCCCGUCGCUCCUACCGAUUGAAUGAUCCGGUGAAAUCUCUGGACCGUCGCAUGCAUCGGGUUUCCGAAGUUUGCUUCUGGGAAACUGAUUAAACCUUAUCAUUUAGAGGAAGGAGAAGUCGUAACAAGGUUUCCGUAGGUGAACCUGCAGAAGGAUCA
rnacentral:rRNA from 1 species